rnacentral:lncRNA from 1 species
UAAGUUAGGCCUCYGAAUCAAGAGAAAUCUAAGGAAGCUGUCCUAGGUAAAUGAGGCUUGCACUGAACUAAAGAAAUUUUUUUUAUCUUAAAUGCCAGUACAAUAUGAAUAAAACAGUGCAAACAGGAGGAAAUUGACAGCAAUAUGAAGCCAAUAAUUUUAUGAAUAAGGAAAAAAAUACUCAAUUUUAAAUUCUCACAGGUAACUCUUGCCCAGCCUGUUAAGUUUCUGAACUUUUGUGUUUCUCCUUAAAUUCKCAAGAAGGUCUUGGGAUAUCUGCAGCUGAAAAGCCUUGCAUGUACACAAGAGUAAAUCUGAAGGAACACCAAGCAGAGCCCUCAACUAUCUGAUCGUGCAUUUCUGCAAUUUUAUAUUAGUAGAUAAGGCACGUUGAAGUUAAUACCAAGUUUCCUCUGCAGUAAACAAACAUAUCAGUUACAACUACAAAGUUAUCUCACUGUUUAAGAUAAAUGACACUUCAAUUGAAUGCAGUAAUGGGUGUCAGUCUUCUGUCAGUAAUGACCUGGAAGUUUGCUAGACUUGGGCACAUGAACAGAACACUGCAUGAGAACAGUGGCACCGAUUCAAGGAAAAUUUUUCCUUCCAUCUCUUGUGGGAUUUCUGUUGUUUUGAAUCUGAUCACAGGAGAAGAGUUCCAAGUCAGCAAGAAGCAGGGGAAAGUGAGAAAUGCUUGGGAAAAUGGAAAUGCUACUGAGGUUUUAGGCAAARGAUACCAUCUAGGACAGCGGAAUGAAAGCAUGUAUAACUAGCAAUUUGUACAAUUAUGAUUUUAUUAAAACUGUUUUUGUUACUCUUUAUAAACUGAUCUGUAUCCUUAAUUACAAUAUAGUCAAUAGCUACUUAAAAAAUUAAAAUAUUUUUAGUAGUAUUUUGUUAAAACUUCUUGUAUAGGAUUUUCUAGCAAUUUGCAAAGUUAAUGCUUUUUGGAUGGGAAGGUUGAAUUCCAUAAGCAUUUAAUCAGAAACUACGAGUCUUCUGUGUUUCUUGGCUACCUUUCUUUUCCAAAUGCAUUAUAACCGUGAUAUAUGAGGAGAAAACAAUGAUGGAUUGGUAGGCUAGUAGGAGAUGCAUGGUAGUUCCUCUCCCUCUGUAGGAGGAGAGAAGUAAAUGAAAUAUAUUUGAGCAAACUGUGCAUUAAAUGGUAACUUGUGGUGAUCACAUGCAUGUUUGCAGAGAACUAGGAGGCUACCAAAAAUAGAGACUUAAAGUCACGCUUCGUUAUUUUUUUUUAGUCACAACGUGGCGGGCUGGAGCAUCCCACGGUAUCCGUUCU